GACAGAGGUGGCAAGCGUUGUUCGGAAUUACUGGGCGUAAAGGGCGCGUAGGCGGUUCGGUAAGUCCUGUGUGAAAUCCCUCGGCUCAACUGAGGAACUGCACGGGAGACUGCCGGGCUUGAGUUCGGGAGAGGGAAGCGGAAUUCCGGGUGUAGCGGUGGAAUGCGUAGAUAUCGGGAAGAACACCGGUGGCGAAGGCGGGUCUCUGGGCAAUUCCUGACGCUGAGGCGCGAAAGCGUGGGGAGCAAACGGG
rnacentral:rRNA from 1 species